UACCGCAUACGCCCUACGGGGGAAAGCAGGGGAUCGCAAGACCUUGCACUAUUAGAGCGGCCGAUAUCGGAUUAGCUAGUUGGUGGGGUAACGGCUCACCAAGGCGACGAUCCGUAGCUGGUUUGAGAGGACGACCAGCCACACUGGGACUGAGACACGGCCCAGACUCCUACGGGAGGCAGCAGUGGGGAAUUUUGGACAAUGGGGGAAACCCUGAUCCAGCCAUCCCGCGUGUGCGAUGAAGGCCUUCGGGUUGUAAAGCACUUUUGGCAGGAAAGAAACGUCAUGGGCUAAUACCCCGUGAAACUGACGGUACCUGCAGAAUAAGCACCGGCUAACUACGUGCCAGCAGCCGCGGUAAUACGUAGGGUGCAAGCGUUAAUCGGAAUUACUGGGCGUAAAGCGUGCGCAGGCGGUUCGGAAAGAAAGAUGUGAAAUCCCAGAGCUUAACUUUGGAACUGCAUUUUUAACUA
rnacentral:rRNA from 1 species